UGGUAGCUGUAGACCAGAGCUGUUCCUAUUUGGCCAUCUUGGAAGUGACUCCAUAAAAAUUUAUUUCAUUGACAGAUACCAGAAAAGAAUGAAGAAUAAGGGGGCCCAUCAGGAGAGAUAUUUGCAGAGGAUAAGACUCUUCAAGAACUUUCAUCAUACCACAGACUGGGAGAAAAUAUUUGCAAACAAAUCUGGAACUUACCCACUGAAAAGUCCCUCCUGAGUCAUUCGAGCAAUCACCAGCUGUGCUUAAUACAUUCUGGUAAGCAAAUAUUGUCACAUUUUCCUUGGAAUCUGCCAUCUAUGCCCUCUUUUUUUUUUUUUUUUUUUGAGACCGAGUCUUGCUCUGUCCCCAGGCUGGAGUGCAGUGGCCCUAUCUCAUCUCACUGCAACUUCCGCCUCCCGGGUUCAACCCAUUCUCUUGCCUCUACCUCCCGAGUACUACGAUUACAGGCGCGUGCUACCACUCCCAGCUAAUUUUUGUAUUUUUAGUAGAGACGGGGUUUGACUAUGUCUGCCAGAAUGGUCUCCAUCUCUUGACCUCGUGAUCUAUCCACCUCGGCCUCCCAAAGUGCUGGGAUCACAGGCUUGAGCCACUGCGCCCAGCCCCCUUAUUUUAAUUAGUUUGUUAUAGGCCCUCACUGAAAUUAGUAGGUACAGGUAGGGUAUUUUGUG
rnacentral:lncRNA from 10 species